AUCGUAUCCAGAAAUUUCAAAUAUGGCAAUUACCAAGAGCGUACAGUGACUGCACUUCAAGCCUUAACAGGCUCUGAGGCUACCUGAGAAGCAGCCUAAGCUAAGUGGAGACCUAAAGAGCAACAAAAGAGGUGGAGUGGAAGAAUCCAUGGGUCAGGGAGCUUCCUGCUCUGUGCAUCUUGGCUUUUACUCAGGUUAAGGAUGUUGUUUCUGUUACUCAACUUGCUUGGAAGGAAAACAAACGCACAAGUGUUUACACCAUCAUCAGCAGCAGCCCCUGGGCCUUGGUGAUGGCUGCAGGAUGUCCUUGUUGCUGUUUGGGGGGAAAACGCUGGCAGGCAAGAAGGCUCAUGCUGGUAAGACAGACAGCCAUGAUUUAAAAUAGCCUUUCGAAACAUCUGACACAUAUGCAUGUGUAUGUGUUGUCAAGUCUAUA
rnacentral:lncRNA from 1 species